rnacentral:rRNA from 1 species
CUCGAUUGACGGCUCAGUGAGGCCUUCGGACUGGCCCAGGGAGGUGGGCAACUACCACCCAGGUGCUGGAAAGUUGUACGAACUCGGUCGUUUAGAGGAAGUAAAAGUCGUAACAAGGUCUCCGUUGGUGAACCAGCGGAGGGAUCAUUACAGAGUUGAAAAACUCCAACCCCUGUGAACCUACCUUUACUGUUGCUUCGGCGGACGAUGGCCCCCGGGCCGGACGCCGCCGGAGGUUACAAACCCUGAAUUUUAGUGUAUCUCUGAGUACGAAACCAAAUAAUUAAAACUUUCAACAACGGAUCUCUUGGUUCUGGCAUCGAUGAAGAACGCAGCGAAAUGCGAUAAGUAAUGUGAAUUGCAGAAUUCAGUGAAUCAUCGAAUCUUUGAACGCACAUUGCGCCCGCCGGUAUUCCGGCGGGCAUGCCUGUCCGAGCGUCAUUUCACCACUCAAGCCCAGCUUGGCGUUGGGGCACCCGGCCGCCCGGCGGUCGGGGCCCCCAAGAACAUCGGCGGUCUCGCUAGGACCCUGAGCGCAGUAACUCGCGGUAAAACGCGCUUCGCUCGGAGGCUUUCCCGGCGGGCUCCAGCCGCUAAACCCCCUAAACUUCUUAGGUUGACCUCGGAUCAGGUAGGAAUACCCGCUGAACUUAAGCAUAUCAAUAAGCGGAGGAAAAGAAACCAACAGGGAUUGCCCUAGUAACGGCGAGUGAAGCGGCAACAGCUCAAAUUUGAAAUCUGGCCCCAGGCCCGAGUUGUAAUUUGCAGAGGAUGCUUUUGGCAAAGCGCAUACCGAGUCCCCUGGAACGGGGCGCCACAGAGGGUGAGAGCCCCGUAUGGUACGACGCCGAGCCUCUGUAAAGCUCCUUCGACGAGUCGAGUAGUUUGGGAAUGCUGCUCUAAAUGGGAGGUAAAUUUCUUCUAAAGCUAAAUACCGGCCAGAGACCGAUAGCGCACAAGUAGAGUGAUCGAAAGAUGAAAAGCACUUUGAAAAGAGGGUUAAAUAGCACGUGAAAUUGUUGAAAGGGAAGCGCUCGUGACCAGACUUGCGCCGGGCGGAUCAUCCAGCGUUCUCGCUGGUGCACUCCGCCCGGCUCAGGCCAGCAUCGGUUUUCGCCGGGGGACAAAAGCUUCGGGAACGUGGCUCCCUUCGGGGAGUGUUAUAGCCCGUCGUUUAAUACCCCGGCGGGGACCGAGGACCGCGCUUCGGCAAGGAUGCUGGCGUAAUGGUCAUCAGCGACCCGUCUUGAAACACGGACCGAGGAGUCAAGCAUUAGUGCGAGUGUUUGGGUGUAAAACCCGCACGCGUAAUGAAAGUGAACGUAGGUGAGAGCUUCGGCGCAUCAUCGACCGAUCCUGAUGUUUUCGGAUGGAUUUGAGUAGGAGCAUUAACGCUUGGACCCGAAAGAUGGUGAACUAUACUUGAAUAGGGUGAAGCCAGAGGAAACUCUGGUGGAGGCUCGCAGCGGUUCUGACGUGCAAAUCGAUCGUCAAAUUUGAGUAUAGGGCGAAAGACUAAUCGA